CGGUGGCAGACGCUCCUCCUCGCUGCUCGGAGCUCCGGGCCGCGGGUGACAAACCGGUGACCUCGGCAAGAGGCAAAACUGAAGCUGCAACCGUGUGUUCAUGGCCUGCUUUACGGAGGCAGGAUGCAGCAGGAGACACGUUGCACGAAUCUGAAGAGUAUGGCGUCAUGCAGCUGGACGGGUUUCUUUUCUGGGUUUAGACAGGGACAGAGGGACUACAUGUCCUCUUCAGGCACCCUGAAAGGCCUUGGAGUACAGAUAGGCAUGAAUCCAGCCUCGGUAAAGGUAGGAAGUCAGAAAACGGGUAGCUGCAGGGCCUUGACCCAAGGGAGCAAGUAUGCUGAAGGGAGCAGCAAUACAGGCGGAGGUGGAAGACAGGAAACUUCGGAGAGUUUAUGCCUGCCAGCAAGCAACACCUGAUCCAGAAAUCAGGCUUUGGCGAUGUGCAGCGCACGGCAAAUAUACUUGAAUUAAUGCCUGAGACCUGGCUGAUACAUACCUCAUAGUUAAUCUGGUUACGCGGGGUUUAUUUCACAGUCGGAAGUUCUUGCACUGGAAGGGAGUCCUGCUGGGGUUUUCUGAGCACACGACUGAAUUAAUGAAUGAACGAAUGCAGCUUGCCAGCCCAGAUUUAAAUUGCUUACUAGAUCAAAAUCUGCUCGUUUUCU